UUGCCCUCUUAGAGCUGGUGGUGCUUUAAGUGGCCAAUACAGAGGGGUAGAGAAAUUCUCUUUUAAACCCAGAGGCAAGGAUGACACUUUCCUCUGGAUCCUGUCAGGAGGAACAAAU
rnacentral:snoRNA from 11 species